CCAGCGGUGGUUUAGUGGCAGAACUCUCACCUUCUAAGUGGGAGGCCUGGGUUCAAUUCCCGGCCAAUGUG
rnacentral:tRNA from 1 species